UACGAAGGGGGCUAGCGUUGUUCGGAAUUACUGGGCGUAAAGCGCGCGCAGGCGGUUUUUCAAGUCAGUGGUGAAAGCCCGGAGCUCAACUCCGGAACUGCCAUUGAAACUGUAAAACUUGAGGAUGAGAGAGGUGAGUGGAAUUCCCAGUGUAGAGGUGAAAUUCGUAGAUAUUGGGAAGAACACCGGUGGCGAAGGCGGCUCACUGGCUCAUUUCUGACGCUCAGGCGCGACAGCGUGGGGAUCGAAACAGG
rnacentral:rRNA from 1 species